UACGUAGGGGGCAAGCGUUGUCCGGAAUCAUUGGGCGUAAAGAGCGCGUAGGCGGUCCGGUAAGUCCGCUCUGAAAGCCCGGGGCUCAACCCCGGGAGGCGGGCGGAUACUGUCGGGCUAGAGUCCGGAAGAGGCGAGUGGAAUUCCUGGUGUAGCGGUGAAAUGCGCAGAUAUCAGGAGGAACACCGAUGGCGAAGGCAGCUCGCUGGGACGGUACUGACGCUGAGGCGCGAAAGCGUGGGAGCAAACAGG
rnacentral:rRNA from 1 species